rnacentral:lncRNA from 1 species
GACGGGGCUGGAGCGAUGGGGAAGAGAGUGCGGUGGGGUCCCUUGGUCCCCGUCCCCAGGAAGCCGGCGAGAUGGAACUCGCAUCUAUCGGGCCCUGACCAUGCUCGGGGCUGCACCGGCUCAGAAAGAAACCCAUCAGUGCAGGCACCGGUGCUUGACGGUCAGCUUGGGCCUGGGAUCCUGACCCUGCACCCGGGCUCUGAGAGGGAGAACUGUGGCGUUCGCUCAGCCAAGCCCGGACAGCUUAGCCGCCAGCCCCCUCCACCUUCCCGCAGCCCUUGUUUUCCCAGAGGUCAGAAGCCAGGCAGGAAGACCUAAGAGGGGCUAUCUGUUGAGGCCCCAGGGAGGGAGGAAGCCCGUCCCUGGCCUGAAGGCCUGACCCCAGGCUAGGUCUCAAGAGAGGCUGGAAGCCACAGGCCUGACGCCAGUCCCGCUGCUGACGCGUAUGUGGUCCAGCUGGGGCCCUGCCAGGUGUGGCCACUGGUGAGGCCAGAGGUAACCGGGCUGGGAGGGGGGUGCAUCUUCAAGCCACACCUCCCCGGACCAGCCUCCCUCCCUCCCCACCCAUGCUUGUGUGGGGUCCUUGUGGGCAACUGUCACCCUUUCCCACCCCCACUGUCCUGGGAGGACAGGAGGAUGGGGUUGGGUGGUGACGCCGGCUUCAAGAAGCAGCAGUUAGUCGCUGGUCUGUGCUGCCAGGACCCCGGGCCACGGGCCUUCCUGCUCCCGCCACUCCUCCCACCGCCUGAACUUGUGCUGAGAUCCUGCACCCGACCAGCUGAUGCCUGAGCGGGAAAGGAUUCUAGGGCCAGAUCCGUGCUGGCCUGGCCAAGACUCUCUUGGAACCACCCUGCUGUCCCGGGCUGUCUCUGCUGGAGCCUCUUUGCUCCCGCCCCCUUUGCAAGUGUCUGACCCGCAUCCCAUUACUCCCGCUCCUCGUCCCUCUGCCUCUCCAAGAGCUGUGCUCCCACGGCCUUCCCUCUGGCCUCACAGCCACCACCACGUCCCCCCUCCCCACGUCCAGGUUAGCCCUCAAGGGAAUCUGAACUCCUCCACGACCAGAAGCCACACAGAACUAGCUCAAAGGGCCCCUUCCAGGACACCGACUCCCAGAGGACCCAGACCUUUCAGCCCAAGGAAUGGGAUGACGUCAGGGGUUCCAGGUGGAGACGAGGACUCCCAGGCCCAGACUCAUGCCUUGCCCAGCCCCAGGAGACAGAGUUUCAGAAGCAUACCUGGGCCAAGUCUAAAAAUCAGAUGGGGACUUUAUUGUGAUGGUGGCAGGUCCACCAGCAGAUGCAAAUGUGGGGUGCUGAGAGUGGCAACACAGGCCACCCCAAACCAACUUCACUCCCUCCCCUGUCCUCAGCCAGUACAGAAACCAAAUGUAGCCCCAGCCCUAGACUCCAGCCCAGGCAGAGUCCAAGGGAGGGGUGUCAGGGUCAGAAGUCACAGGGAGCCCAGUGACUGUCAAGGUGGCUGAGAGCAAGGCUAGGGUAGGGAGGGAGCAGAGAAAGGGCAGGGGGUGCAGCCCCAGGUGGCCCAAAGCAACACAGAGGGGCAAGGGCUGGCAUUCACCAAGUCAGCAGGUCCCUGGGGAGAACAGAUGGUGCCUGGAGUCCCACAGGGUGGUACAGGUAGGGGAGCUCUCUGCGGCAGGCAGCACCCCAGGAGGAGUGGGACUCCUGCCGAGGCUGACCCCAACUUCAAGGCUGCCAAGUUCUGAUGGGAGUGUCCUCCAGAACAUCUCCCAGCCCCCGACGAGCAGAGCCCUGGAGGAGUGGGACUCCUGCCCUGAGGCUGACCCCAGUUUUGGGGCUGCCAGGUUCUGAUGGGAGUGUCCUCCAGGAAUGUCUUCAAGCCCCCAGCAGGCAGAGCCCAGAAGGGUCUGAGGGCAUGAUGGGCAUCAGUGGGAUUUUGGUUGUGCCAGGGGUGGGCAGGGCCACCCGUGAGCAAAGGCCGCAGGGGUGAGGGCUAUGCUGCCACCAAGCCCCUGGGAGAGGGGUGUGGAGGCGGCCUCUGCAUACGCCCAGGCCAAAUUCCAGGAAAGCGGGACCAGCCGCUGGAAGGGGGGUGAGCCUGGGAGCAUCAGGAGACGCCCCGAGGAGCACAGACAGGAGAGGUGCAGCUGCUGGCCCAGCCAGGAGCCCAGGGCCUCCCUAUUUGCAGUUCUCCUUCCGGAACCCUGGAAGCCAAGGGCGCCAACGGGUUGGCGGCUGUUCUCCACCCUCAUCACAGUGGGAGACACAGGGCAGACCCCCCCGCAGGACUCCCCAGGGAUUUCUGAGCCUGAGGUGGCAGGGGCCCCGGGCCUGGCUGGUGCCUGCCAUCGUUGGUCCCGGGUGAGGUGGAAUGGGGACAGGCAGGGCUCUGAGAUGGGCUGAGGUCGCCCCCCGCCGCUCACCUUUGUCUAGGUCGAUGUACUUGGCAGGCAGGGGGCUGUGGGCCAG